GACGAACGCUGGCGGCGUGCCUAACACAUGCAAGUCAACUUGACUGAAGGAGCAAUCUGACAGUAGAGUGGCGCAAGGGUGCGUAACGCGUAAGUAACUUGCCCCAAGGUAAGGAAUAACGUCGAGAAAUCGGCGCUAAUACCUCAUAAUGCAGCGGAUCCGCAUGGAUAUGUUGUUAAAGGUUUACCGCCUUGGGAUAGGCUUGCGUCUGAUUAGCUAGUUGGUGUGGUAACGGCACACCAAGGCUACGAUCAGUAACUGGUCUGAGAGGAUGAUCAGUCACACUGGAACUGAGACACGGUCCAGACUCCUACGGGAGGCAGCAGUGAGGAUAUUGGGCAAUGCUCGAAAGAGUGACCCAGCAACGCCGCGUGGAGGAUGAAGGUAUUCUAUAUCGUAAACUCCUGUGAGAGCAGACGAAAGACAGAUUAUAAUCUGGAUGACUGUAUGCUCAGAGGAACG
rnacentral:rRNA from 1 species